rnacentral:lncRNA from 1 species
UCAUCACUCACUCACACUCUCUAUCCCUUUCAUAUAUUUCUCUCCUAUCCCCUCCUUAAAGAAAGGCGAGACUUUUGGGGGAUAAGGAACCAAAAGAGAUCUUGAGAGAGAAAGAGAGAGUAUCACAAACACAACACAUCUAAUGAGAUUAUUAUCGAAGGAAAAAGGAAGCUUUUCUAUUGUGGGGAAUGUUGUUUGGCUCGAGGAUUCAAUUUCUUACUUUCUUUUAUAGAUCUGUAUAUAUGGAUCUAUAAUAUAGGAUUAUGUCUUUGGUAUCGUCGGACCAGGCUUCAUUCCCCUCAAAGAUUGCUACCGUAAUCCUUGCUCACUCGUCAGACAUUUUCGCGAUCUCAAAUAUUUUUGUGUAUUCAGUGGUAAGUUUCAUCUCCUAAGUUUUGUUUUGUUUUGUUUGUUGGCGUUGAUUUUCUGAAGCUUUUGUUUGUCCGUUUGUAAAUCGAUUCUUUUUUUGUUAAGUAGUUAUGUGUUGAUUGGUGUAAUGAUGAAGAUCUUGACUUUUAGGUUUUGCAUUUUUGUUUCAAAUCCCAACCUGAAAAACAGUUUCAUCAUUACAGUCCUUUUUUGGCUAUUUUUUUUUGUGUUUCAAUAGUCAGUAACGUAUGAUUGUGGUCAUGAUUAUGGCUUUUUUGGUAGUAUCUCUUUCUGUAAACAUUCAGAUCUGGAUUCUGCUUUUCAACUUUCUCCAAAACCCUUUCGCCCUUUUUGAUUUUCUCCACAAAUACUUGUCUCUCUCUUUCUUAGCAGGAUUUUUCACAGAUUGGGGUUUAUUUUGUCAAGAACGUACCUUUGCUAAAAAUCGAGCUUUAUUCUUUCUAUAUAUAUGAGUUAAUACAUUCAUAUUAGGCUGAAAAUAAUAUUUGUAUCCAUUGCAUUUCUGUCCGAUAUUGCUGCAUUGUCCGGCCAUUUUGCAUCCAUAAUGUCUUCCUGAAAUUAAGAAGAGAGAAUUAUACAUAAGUACAGUUAUAAAAGAUGUAUAGUGUACAGCUUAAUUUUUAAGAUGCACAGUUUUUGAAGCAUGGUUUUAUAGUACCUCCAACUAUCGUGCGAGUUAAUUUUGUUAGUGUAACCUUUUUUUGUUACAAAUAUAUUUGAUAAGUCGAUACUUGAGUAAAAGAAAACAAAAAGAUAUUUGAGUAAAAGAUUGUCGAAUGCACGUUGUGAACUUGAGACAUGUCGAUAUUGGCAGCUAGAUGUGAUGGAUUUCGUUCUAGCUAGUGCUUGAAAACAGUGGCGGAGUCGGGAUUUUCAGGAAUGAGGUUCAAAUUUUCUCUUUUUUGUAACUAGUGGUAAUUGAAUCUAUAAUCUUACGAAGAUUUUGAACCCCCUGAUCACUAAACUACACUUUUGGGUUGUGCUAAGGGGGUUCAAAACUUAAUAUAUAGACGUAAAAAACAGAUUUUGCCUUAUAUAUACAGUGUAAUAUUUUGGCGAGACCCCUAAAUCCGCCACUGCUUGAAAAUAAUAUUUCAAAGUUUGUAUGUUCUUGUUACUUGUG